rnacentral:rRNA from 1 species
CCUACGGGCGGCAGCAGUGAGGAAUAUUGGUCAAUGGACGAGAGUCUGAACCAGCCAAGUAGCGUGAAGGAUGACUGCCCUAUGGGUUGUAAACUUCUUUUAUAUGGGAAUAAAAUGUUCCACGUGUGGGAUUUUGUAUGUCCCCUAUGAAUAAGGAUCGGCUAACUCCGUGCCAGCAGCCGCGGUAAUACGGAGGAUCCGAGCGUUAUCCGGAUUUAUUGGGUGUAAAGGGAGAGUAGGUGGAUUGUUAAGUCAGUUGUGAAAGUUUUCGGCUCAACCGUAAAAUUGCAGUUGAAACUGGCAGGCUUGAGUACAGGAGAGGUGGGCGGAAUUCGUGGUGUAGCGGUGAAAUGCGUAGAUAUUACGAAGAGCUCCGAUUGCGAAGGCAGUUCACUGGACUGCAACUGACACUGAGGCACGAAAGUGUGGGGAUCAAACAGGAUUAGAUACCCGAGUAGUC